ACCUGGGUGGCUUAGUCGGUUAAGCAUCUGACUCUUGGUUUCGGCUCAGGUCACGAUCUCAUGGUUUGUGAGUUCAAGUCCCACAUCAGGUU
rnacentral:tRNA from 1 species